CACGAAGUUAGCCGGUGCUUAUUCUGUCGGUAACGUCAAAACACUAACGUAUUAGGUUAAUGCCCUUCCUCCCAACUUAAAGUGCUUUACAAUCCGAAGACCUUCUUCACACACGCGGCAUGGCUGGAUCAGGCUUUCGCCCAUUGUCCAAUAUUCCCCA
rnacentral:rRNA from 1 species